CCUACGGGAGGCAGCAGUGGGGAAUAUUGCACAAUGGGGGAAACCCUGAUGCAGCGACGCCGCGUGAGCGAUGAAGUAUCUCGGUAUGUUAAGCUUCUUCAGUAGGGAAGAAAAUGACGGCACCUGUCUAUGAAGCUCCGGCUAACUCCGUGCCAGCAGCCGUGGUAAUACGUAGGGGGCAAGCGUAAUCCGGAUUUACUGGGCGUAAAGGGAGCGUAGACGGUUGUGCAAGCCAGAUGUGAAAGUCUGGGGCUCAACCCCAAGACUGCAUUUGGAACUGUGUGGCUGGAGUGUCGGAGAGGCAGGCGGAAUUCGUGGUGUAGCGGUGAAAUGCUUAGAUAUUAGGAAGAACACCGAUGGCGAAGGCAGCCUACUAGACGGUGACUGACGUUGAGGCUCGAAAGCGUGGGGAGCAAACAGGAUUAGAUACCCGGGUAGUC
rnacentral:rRNA from 1 species